rnacentral:rRNA from 1 species
AAAGUCGUGCACGCCGGAGCGUGUCCUCUCGCAUAAAAUCCAUCUCACCCUUUUGUGCACCACCGCGUGGGCACCCUUUGGGAUCGAACCGAUCCAGGAGGGCGCUUGCGUUUUCACACAAACCCCCUUAUAAAAGUGUAGAAUGACCCCAUUUUUGCGAUAACACGCAAUCAAUACAACUUUCAACAACGGAUCUCUUGGCUCUCGCAUCGAUGAAGAACGCAGCGAAAUGCGAUACGUAAUGUGAAUUGCAGAAUUCAGUGAAUCAUCGAAUCUUUGAACGCACCUUGCGCCCCUUGGUAUUCCGAGGGGCACACCCGUUUGAGUGUCGUGAAAAUCUCAACCUCCUCGGUUUCUUCUGGACGCCGAAGGAGGCUUGGACUUUGGAGGCCUUUGCUGGCGUCUCUCGCCAGCUCCUCUCAAAUGAAUUAGCGGGGUCCUCUUUGCCGAUCCUCGACGUGUGAUAAGAUGUUUCCAUGUCUUGGUUUCUGGCUCUGUCGCCUUUGGGACCCGCUUCUAACCGUCUCAAGUCGAGACAACGUUUGAGCGUGUCUCCCUUCUCGGGAAACACCCU